rnacentral:rRNA from 1 species
CAGCAGCCGCGGUAAUACGGAGGGUGCAAGCGUUAUCCGGAUUCACUGGGUUUAAAGGGUGCGUAGGUGGGCAGGUAAGUCAGUGGUGAAAUCUCCGGGCUUAACCCGGAAACUGCCGUUGAUACUAUUUGUCUUGAAUAUUGUGGAGGUAAGCGGAAUAUGUCAUGUAGCGGUGAAAUGCUUAGAUAUGACAUAGAACACCAAUUGCGAAGGCAGCUUACUACACAACGAUUGACGCUGAGGCACGAAAGCGUGGGGAUCAAACAGGAUUAGAUACCCUGGUAGUCCACGCCCUAAACGA